rnacentral:rRNA from 1 species
AUUGAACGCUGGCGGCAGGCCUAACACAUGCAAGUCGAGCGGAUGAAGGGAGCUUGCUCCUGGAUUCAGCGGCGGACGGGUGAGUAAUGCCUAGGAAUCUGCCUGGUAGUGGGGGAUAACGUCCGGGAACGGGCGCUAAUACCGCAUACGUCCUGAGGGAGAAAGUGGGGGAUCUUCGGACCUCACGCUAUCAGAUGAGCCUAGGUCGGAUUAGCUAGUUGGUGGGGUAAAGGCCUACCAAGGCGACGAUCCGUAACUGGUCUGAGAGGAUGAUCAGUCAAACUGGAACUGAGACAGGGUCCAGACUCCUACGGGAGGAAGCAGUGGGGAAUAUUGGACAAUGGGCGAAAGCCUGCUCAAGCCCUGCCGCGUGUGUGAAGAAGGUCUUCGGAUUGUAAAGCACUUUAAGUUGGGAGGAAGGGUAGUAAGUUAAUACCUUGCUGUUUCGACGUUACCAACAGAAUAAGCACCGGCUAACUUCGUG